CUUAGUCAUGAAUGAUGAGUGAACCAUGAGAGAUGAUUCCUUCUACAGUCUUCUGGGGCAAUAAAAUGUACCUUUCCUCCAACAGUUGAUCAUGCACCUGAAAGCUCACAACGUGCAAGUCUAUCCAAAAGUGACAAAAUGCAGUGGAAUGACUCCAGUGAGAUAAUUUCCUACCAGUGAAGGGCAAUUAAUGGAUUGUAAGUUGUGACUGGCGUUCCUGGUAUCUAUGAAAUCAGAUAGGAUGCCUCCAAUGCUCGGGUGUCCAGCUGCACGUCAAGGACAUCCCGGCUCCCAGGGACAGUUCCCAGGCCGCAGGACCGACCUCCUGGCCAGGACCCCAGCCUGGCAGACAUGGCUCCUGUCAGCGUGGAGCAGCCAUCUCACCUCAGCCUUGUCCCACAACCGUCAGGUGACGUCUGUCAGUGCUGCCAUCAGGGGCACCCCGAGACCCUUGUGAUGGAACCACAGAGUCACUGUCACCCUAUGACCUCACAAAAGGUGGCUGGCUAUAAAAGCCCUGAGCGGCGCGCCUGCGGCCAGUCCAGCUCGUGGCACUCAAUUGCUCGAGGUCCCACUGCUGGAAGACAGGAGGCGGAGGUGUUGUGCGAAGCACACUCGAAGCCAUUCUUCUUGCACGCCAGCCAUCAAGGUCCUUCGUGGUCCUGCUGGUGGCAAGCAAGGUGCUGAGGUCCAGCCAGGGAGACGUGAAGCGUCGAGAUCCUGCCGGCGACCCGCAGGGGAGGUGCUGAAGACCGGAGUCUGCUGACAACCACCCGGCACCGGGGCACCUUCCCACACAAGACCAUCUCGACG
rnacentral:lncRNA from 1 species